rnacentral:tRNA from 1 species
GGUCCCAUCGUCUAGCUGGUUAGGACACAGCCCUCUCAAGGCUGGCGCACGGGUUCGAAUCCCGUUGGGACUG